rnacentral:rRNA from 1 species
GGGUAACUCGUGGCCGGCAGCUGUGGUAUGACGCGGGGCCCGGGCGGUAGUCGUGAUCAGUGGUCUUAAAGAGGGCGUAGGCGGACCGGCAAGUGCUUUGUGAAAUACCCCGGCUCAACCGGGGAAUUGCUUGGCAUACGGCCGGUCUUGAGGCCGAGAGAGGCCGCUGGAACUCUAGGUGUAGCGGUGAAAUGCGUAGAUAUCUAGAGGAACGCCAAAGGUGAAGACAGGCGGCUGGGUCGGUUCUGACGCUGAGGCACGAAAGCGUGGGGAGCGAACGGGAUUAGAUACCCGGUAGUC